GGAGUCGGCCAGACGGUCGCCGCUGGCGUCGGUCCUCGCGAUCGGUGCCGGGGGAGGAAAGUCCGGGCUCCAUAGGGCAGGGUGCCAGGUAACGCCUGGGCGGCGCGAGCCGACGGAAAGUGCAGCAGAGAGUAGACCGCCUACGUCUCCUUUGGGAGGCCGGCAAGGGUGAAAGGGUGCGGUAAGAGCGCACCGCGCGCCUGGUAACAGUGCGUGGCAAGGUAAACCCCACCCGGAGCAAGACCAAAUAGGCCCCCGACGGUGUGGCCCGCACUGGGGGCGGGUAGGUUGCUUGAGGGCCGCGGUGACGUGGCUCCUAGAUGAAUGACUGUCCUCGACAGAACCCGGCUUAUCGGCCGACUCCCUCC
rnacentral:RNase_P_RNA from 1 species